rnacentral:lncRNA from 1 species
AUUUAAAAUGAAGUUAAGCAUAUUGAAGAUAUAAUGGUAAGCAACAAAGAAACUUUGGAGCAAGGGCUGUACAAUUACUAAGUACUGCAGAUUGCUAUUUGAAUUAGUUAAUAUUUGUUAGUAAAAUGCUUAAUACCUUUGGUCACUGGGGACUGGGUACCAAACAAGGUUAACAGCGAUUCCUGAACUUCUCCAAGACCAUGGCAAGACUUCUGGACAGAGUUGAAGCACAAUCUGAAGGUGAAACAGUCCCCUGCAGCAUGGUGACCCCACCACAGUGUAGCCACAGUGACCUGGGACACCAGAUAGGGUGAGAAACCUCUUCAUGAUUCGCUCAGUCAUCUU